rnacentral:rRNA from 1 species
UACGUAGGGUGCGAGCGUUGUCCGGAAUUAUUGGGCGUAAAGAGCUCGUAGGCGGUCUGUCGCGUCGGAUGUGAAAACUCGGGGCUCAACCCCGAGCCUGCAUUCGAUACGGGCAGACUAGAGUGCGGUAGGGGAGACUGGAAUUCCUGGUGUAGCGGUGAAAUGCGCAGAUAUCAGGAGGAACACCGGUGGCGAAGGCGGGUCUCUGGGCCGAUACUGACGCUGAGGAGCGAAAGCGUGGGGAGCGAACAGG